CCUACGGGUGGCAACAGUGGGGAAUAUUGGACAAUGGGGGGAACCCUGAUCCAGCCAUGCCGCGUGUGUGAAGAAGGCCCUCGGGUUGUAAAGCACUUUCAGUGAGGAAGAACGCCUGGUGGUUAAUACCCAUCAGGAAAGACAUCACUCACAGAAGAAGCACCGGCUAACUCCGUGCCAGCAGCCGCGGUAAUACGGAGGGUGCGAGCGUUAAUCGGAAUUACUGGGCGUAAAGCGCGCGUAGGUGGCUUGAUAAGCCGGUUGUGAAAGCCCCGGGCUCAACCUGGGAACGGCAUCCGGAACUGUCAAGCUAGAGUGCAGGAGAGGAAGGUAGAAUUCCCGGUGUAGCGGUGAAAUGCGUAGAGAUCGGGAGGAAUACCAGUGGCGAAGGCGGCCUUCUGGACUGACACUGACACUGAGGUGCGAAAGCGUGGGUAGCAAACAGGAUUAGAUACCCUUGUAGUC
rnacentral:rRNA from 1 species